AAAUCAACCUCCGUCGGCUACAAAAUUUCUCCUGUGUGAGAUAAGGAGUUUGGAAUAAAUAGCUUCUGAGGUUCCUUUCAGACCUAUAUCUGUGCUCUUUGAUGAGAGAAUGACAUUCACCAUGUGAUGAAUAGCUGGAGAUCAGAAUGGAGAAGGGAAGACUAUGUGACAUGUAAAGUGAAAGGAUCAGAAAGAAAAAAAGAAAAUGUGAGCCAUAUGUGAUAUCCCUGCUAAAGGAAAGAGAAGGGAGCUGUUCCUUAAACUCCCAUUUGUUUAGAGGUUGAGAAUCAGCUUUUAUGAUGGCAGAAGAAACUACAUAGAUUUUAUGGACUGGAAUGAUGAAAGAGGAAGAAGGUACACUAAAAAAUCACAAAACUCUAGCAAUGGAAAAUCCUCUUCUUUAUGGACUAAAGCUGAACAUCCUUCCCGCAUCUCCAGCCUGUGCAAUGCUGAGCCAGAUGCUAUCCAUAUGGGACCCGGACUUUCAAAUACUUUCCUCUCCCUGCUUUUUUCCUCUGGCCCCUGACCCCAAGCCACAGCUGCACCUCCCCUCCAGGAAGCUUGAUCAGGAUCUCUCUAAAAGCCCAGCAGCAUUUGGGUGAGAAGCAGCUGGCAGGAAUCAUUCCAGUCGGAUGCACCCUGUCCUUAGGGCGCCAUCAUGCUAUUUUCUGAAGCUACUUUGGUGUAAUUGGGACCUAAUUCAUUUUCUUUUCAUUCUACUUCUCUCCAUCUUAGAAAGGAAGGGUAAUGAUCGUGUUAAGGCAGUGGGUCUGCUUUUCUGCUCAGACUUCAAUCUUCAUGUCCUUAACAUGGGCUGGAAUAGAGAUGACCAUUGUGGAAGCAAUCACUGGGUGCUCACUCUUCACUCCCACCUUCAGUAAGGAGCUGAGGAGGGGUGGGAGUUGCAGAGGGAGAAGAAUGGGCUGCUUACCCCACUUGGUUAAAGCCCACUGUUAAUGAAGCUAGAGUUGGCUUGGUUAUUUUCAGGAUAUCCCAAUCUGUUCAAAAUGUUUUGGGAUUCAGAGGCUUUUACAGAAGAGUUAAUUAGGCUAGUAAUGCUAAAAGGAAUUGGCUUUUUCAUUUGUGUAAGAUGUAAAGAGACCAACUUUGACUCCCUCUGAUUUAUCUACCAAUAGGAACCUGCUCCUAAAAGUCACUUGUUUAUUAUCCUUCUCUGACCAAUCGAAUGUUUUCAUGCAGAAAAAUUAUGCUCGACUCUCCCACAAUCUCAUGCAUAUCUGUAGUCCAUGGGAGAGAAGAAUUAAAACCAUAUGACAUUGGUUUUUCAAAAGAGGUCAGAAAUCCAAAUUCUUACUUAUUAACCAUAUCCAGCGGUGUAUUUUAUCUCUCUAGCUAGACUAUAAGCUGCUUAGGGGCUGAGGGACUGUCUUCAGCUAUUCCUUCCUCAAUCCUUAUUAUAUCUCCUUCAGUAUUGAGCUUAUUGAAUCAGUGGAUCAUCUAAUGGAUGAACUAGUAAAGUUAAUAAAAGAGGUCAGAUCUGGUCUGUGAAA